UGUAGGAUAUGUAUAUUAAAAAAUUAAUAACUAAAAAAAUAAAAUUUUUUUUCACUUACAUAAAAAUACGUGAUAUACCAUCUGUGUUUCUGUCACAUCUCAAAAUUUCUCCACAUUCACACCCUCCAUGAUCACACUAAGAGGACACGUGUUCACACACAAAACAAAUAGUUAAGUGGUAUGACAACUCACGCAUUCACACACUAAAACUACAAAAUAUAUAAUCAGCGAUAUUGCUAUUCACAUUCACAUUCACAUUCACAUUCACACCAUCCGUGAUCAGAUGCAGUCAGUACCUUCCCCUUUCCUCUCCCUGAGGAGACCCCAGCGCCGUCUCGAGCUGAAGCGCUACAACCUUGUCUCGUCUCAGCUAGUCUGCUGCUUCCAAGCCCAAGUCCAGCUCCAAUCCUCCGCCAAAAUAUCGAACCCAAAGUAGGGGAACACGAUCAACAGCCCCGGUGGCAAUAGAGACAACCAGAGAAGGCGGUUGAGAUCUUAAACAGCCAGCAACGGAGCAAGACUGAAAAGGUGUAAAAUUGUUUCCCUUUGCCAAUUGUGAUACGCGAUCUGUAAAUAUAGUCCCUGCAAGAAGAUGGAUGCUCAAUUGAGAGCCCUCCCCACCUCAUUUCCGUCAUGCUGUGGCCUAAACCUGAUGUGAAGACAGAGAACCUUCCGAUCCCAUGGAUAAAAACCAGCUGACAGAAGCUCAAGACCAAUACCCGUAUCACAUGGCGUUGCUCGUCAACGAGGCCCUGCAAUCAAGAGUAGUAAUCACCCAAAUUACUUCUAAGUUCAUUUGAAAUUAUGAAUGAUAAACGAAUACGAGAAGAAAAUACUUGUUUUAAGAGCUAAGAGUCUAAGACAAGGAAAGUUCGAUCAAAGGAUUAAAAAAAAAUAUAAUAAAAUAAAAGGGUUUGCACCUCUCCA